rnacentral:rRNA from 1 species
GAGUGGCGCACGGGUGGGUAACACGUAACUGACCUACCCCCAAGUCGCGAAUAACCAGCCGAAAGGAUGGCUAAUACGUGAUGUGAUGAUCCGCUGUGGCGGAUCAUUAAAGACUUGAUCGCUUGGGGAUGGGGUUGCGUUCCAUCAGCUAGUUGGUAAGGUAAAGGCUUACCAAGGCAACGACGGAUAGCCGGCCUGAGAGGGUGGCCGGCCACAGGGGCACUGAGACACGGGUCCCACUCCUACGGGAGGCAGCAGUUAGGAAUCUUCCACAAUGGGCGCAAGCCUGAUGGAGCGACGCCGCGUGAGGGAUGAAGGUUCUCGGAUCGUAAACCUCUGAACCAACGACGAAAGACCCGACAAGGGAGAUGACGGUAGUUGGGUAAUAGCAC